AGAGUUUGAUCAUGGCUCAGAUUGAACGCUGGCGGCAGGCCUAACACAUGCAAGUCGAACGGUAACAGGAAACAGCUUGCUUCUUCGCUGACGAGUGGCGGACGGGUGAGUAAUGUCUGGGAAACUGCCUGAUGGAGGGGGAUAACUACUGGAAACGGUAGCUAAUACCGCAUAACGUCGCAAGACCAAAGAGGGGGACCUUCGGGCCUCUUGCCAUCGGAUGUGCCCAGAUGGGAUUAGCUUGUUGGUGGGGUAACGGCUCACCAAGGCGACGAUCCCUAGCUGGUCUGAGAGGAUGACCAGCCACACUGGAACUGAGACACGGUCCAGACUCCUACGGGAGGCAGCAGUGGGGAAUAUUGCACAAUGGGCGCAAGCCUGAUGCAGCCAUGCCGCGUGUAUGAAGAAGGCCUUCGGGUUGUAAAGUACUUUCAGCGGGGAGGAAGGGAGUAAAGUUAAUACCUUUGCUCAUUGACGUUACCCGCAGAAGAAGCACCGGCUAACUCCGUGCCAGCAGCCGCGGUAAUACGGAGGGUGCAAGCGUUAAUCGGAAUUACUGGGCGUAAAGCGCACGCAGGCGGUUUGUUAAGUCAGAUGUGAAAUCCCCGGGCUCAACCUGGGAACUGCAUCUGAUACUGGCAAGCUUGAGUCUCGUAGAGGGGGGUAGAAUUCCAGGUGUAGCGGUGAAAUGCGUAGAGAUCUGGAGGAAUACCGGUGGCGAAGGCGGCCCCCUGGACGAAGACUGACGCUCAGGUGCGAAAGCGUGGGGAGCAAACAGGAUUAGAUACCCUGGUAGUCCACGCCGUAAACGAUGUCGACUUGGAGGUUGUGCCCUUGAGGCGUGGCUUCCGGAGCUAACGCGUUAAGUCGACCGCCUGGGGAGUACGGCCGCAAGGUUAAAACUCAAAUGAAUUGACGGGGGCCCGCACAAGCGGUGGAGCAUGUGGUUUAAUUCGAUGCAACGCGAAGAACCUUACCUGGUCUUGACAUCCACGGAAGUUUCCAGAGAUGGAAAUGUGCCUUCGGGAACUGUGAGACAGGUGCUGCAUGGCUGUCGUCAGCUCGUGUUGUGAAAUGUUGGGUUAAGUCCCGCAACGAGCGCAACCCUUAUCCUUUGUUGCCAGCGGUCCGGCCGGGAACUCAAAGGAGACUGCCAGUGAUAAACUGGAGGAAGGUGGGGAUGACGUCAAGUCAUCAUGGCCCUUACGACCAGGGCUACACACGUGCUACAAUGGCGCAUACAAAGAGAAGCGACCUCGCGAGAGCAAGCGGACCUCAUAAAGUGCGUCGUAGUCCGGAUUGGAGUCUGCAACUCGACUCCAUGAAGUCGGAAUCGCUAGUAAUCGUGGAUCAGAAUGCCACGGUGAAUACGUUCCCGGGCCUUGUACACACCGCCCGUCACACCAUGGGAGUGGGUUGCAAAAGAAGUAGGUAGCUUAACCUUCGGGAGGGCGCUUACCACUUUGUGAUUCAUGACUGGGGUGAAGUCGUAACAAGGUAACCGUAGGGGAACCUGCGGUUGGAUCACCU
rnacentral:rRNA from 2 species